ACUAACACAGCCAGGGAGGACUGGGGAAGGAUUCCAGCUGCCUGAGCUAAGCCAGGAAGGGAAAAUUGGAGUUAGCAAGGCAAGGAAGGUCAUUCCAGGCAGUGGAAACAGAAUGAGCAAAGGCAAGAGAAAAGGCUAUUUGCUUUUGAGCUACUCCGGGAGAGGAGCAGAGUCGGUUUGAGUUGCAUGACUGACAUCUUCUGGCUACAGUGGAUAUUACAGAAAGACUGAAACUCCGCAAAAGUGUGUUUGAAAAAAAGAAAAGCACCCUGGAAUUUGGAUCAUUAAGAGUUGCAGAGCAAGACAAAGCAAGUAGAGUCGGUAUCUGGAGACCUUUUUGCAAAGAAGAGACAAGCUCUCUCUAGGCUAUAUCACUAGUCUCAACUUCCUGGGCUCCAGCCAUCCUCCCACCUCGGCCUCCCAAAGCAUCAGGAUUACAGGCGUGAGCCAUUGCUCCCAGCUUAUUUUUUUAUUGUUGUGUUUGGGGGACUUUGAAUAUACAAUAAACUAAUCAGAGUUAUUGCAAA
rnacentral:lncRNA from 1 species